UACGUAGGGGGCAAGCGUUGUCCGGAAUUAUUGGGCGUAAAGAGCGUGUAGGCGGCUCGGUAAGUCCGCUGUAAAAGUCCAGGGCUCAACCCUGGAAAGCCGGUGGAAACUGUCGAGCUAGAGUCCGGAAGAGGCGAGUGGAAUUCCUGGUGUAGCGGUGAAAUGCGCAGAUAUCAGGAGGAACACCAAUGGCGAAGGCAGCUCGCUGGGACGGUACUGACGCUGAGACGCGAAAGCGUGGGGAGCAAACAGG
rnacentral:rRNA from 1 species